ensembl:lncRNA
AUGAGAGACUACAAACACAGGAAUGUCAGCACCAGUUACUGUCUGACUUUAUUGAACUCUAAAGGUAAAGACACACACCAAAACUCCACACAGCUCACCUGCCAGAGUAUGAGAAGAGAUAUCCUCCAGAAAGGCAGGAAGGACAGAUGUAAUAAGAAAAGAGUCAGUCUGGCAAUGGCCUUCUCAAUGGGCUGUUAUCAUCAGAGGAACGCCUGGCCUCACCACUAACCUUUAAACAAUGCACAUCUCACAUGCUCUCUCCUCAGCGUUUCCUCAGUGUGAGCCCCCCGUUAACACCAGUCCUGCUCUUCACACACACGCUAACCUUGCCUGUCUUUAUUCAAAAACUGAAAACAUCUGUCAAGGAACACCAUCAAGGCCCACUUAGUGGAGAUCCGCUUUCCGUGAGAAGUCAUUUUUCUCCAACACACACUCGCUAAUCUCAUUAUUACUGCAACUAUCAUCCUCCAACUUCGCCACUUUUUUAACUCUGCUCAACUCUUAACUCGAAGGAAAUCCCAGAGUGCUUUGCUGGGCCCGCCCCAAGCAGCAGAACUGGACUGGAGGAGCUUAGAGAGGCAGAGAGGAUUUCAAUACAUGCAGACACACACUGUAUUCCCUGCAGCCGUUAAGUGGCGUCUCCCCACUUUGGGGAUAAUCUGCGGGAGAGAUACUAAAUCAGCUUCCCUUACACUGCCUCAGGACAGCAGAUCCUCUUGUGGUGUCUGUGCCUUAAACUGUGUUCAUAAAGCACAAUCAAGGGCUGGCGCUGGAAGUCAUGCGAGAUACGGGCAUUAGGAUUGCGGGCCGGUUCCCACAGUUCUUCAGUUCUUAAGGACGGUCAUGUGACGCUAAUACCAGUCAGUAGUCAUGCUUCCGAACUUAUGAAUAACUUAUGAGGAACUUUAAAUAGUUUUAGCAGCAUCAGUUCUCCAUAUUUCUGCAGCACAAACCCUCACAUCUGCUGCAUCACAUUUGAUCACUUUUUACCAGUCAGUUUUGCUAAGCAAUUAUUGCUCUGCUGAGCUGUACAGUGAUGCAAAUGCUACAUAAAAGGUCAAAACAUCCUGUUCUGACAACCUCAUCACUUAUCAAGACCUUUAAAUGCACAAAAAUCUUUGCCAACAUCUGAUUUCACUGAAUUCAAAUAGUUCAAUUCAACCUUGUUGGCAAAGGCCCUUUUCGUUAGUUUCACUCACAACUGCACAAAUAUUUUACUGUUAGUACAAAUAGCAUAUUCAUUUUAUAACACCUAGUACCUAUUACUUUUUACUCUGCGCAAGCCAGAUAUUAUUUGUUUAUAUAUAUAUAUAUAUAUAUAUAUAUAUAUAUAUAUAUAUAUAUAUAUAUAUAUAUAUAUAUAUAUAUAUUUAGAUACAAUUUACAUAUUAUAAAAAAUACUUAAAAAUAUAUAAAUAGAUAGUAUAAAUAACAGUAUAAAUAUAUGCUUCCAAAAUCUAUCACAUAAACUUUAAACAAUGUAACACCAAGCAUAUAUGUACAUGUAAACUGAUUGAAACCAGCUUUUUAAAAUAAAGGGAAACUCACCAUCUACUACUUCUUCCUAUGAACUUCUUCUUUUGUUUUUUUCCCCUAUGAACUUUGACCUUGGAAGAACUUUUCCACUACCUUAUGUACUGUCAAAAUAUAAGUUUGAAAUAAAG